rnacentral:lncRNA from 1 species
GAAGCAGUGCGCAAGUAAGUAACAAGCGAAUCUGCUCUAGUUUCAUCGUAUAGCAAGUAAGGAUACAAAGUCCAAAGUCAGGGUACAAAAAAGUAAGGGUGAAAAGUGAAGUAUGCUCUAGAAGACAGGACUCGCUCAUAGCUCAUUAAUAUAUAUUCAUUUGUUCCUUACUCUCUAUGCCUUCGGGUGCUACGGCAGGUAUAGCUGGAUCAGAAUCCGGUUAAUAUAAGCUUGAUCAAGUCAAGGAACUGUACAGUAUAAGAAGAAGCCAUUAUGUGUUUAGGGUAUAGAUUUUGGUAAGAUUCCUUCCCCCUUUAUAGACUCGGCGCGUAGGGGAGCUCCAAGUUCAAGUCCUGUUUCUUUAGUUGGAAAGUCAGCCGCAGAAUUGCCAGUGAUAGUUUCAUCUCUAAGAUCAGAUGCCAGAGACGGAUCCGUUCGAAAGUCAUUGUAAGCGAGAGAAUCGGCUGUUAGCUUUGGAGUAAAGGAAGAAAGUACC